rnacentral:rRNA from 1 species
CCGAGUGGCGGACGGGUGAGUAACGCGUGGGUAACCUGCCUCAUACAGGGGGAUAACAGUUAGAAAUGACUGCUAAUACCGCAUAAGACCACAGCACCGCAUGGUGCAGGGGUAAAAACUCCGGUGGUAUGAGAUGGACCCGCGUCUGAUUAGGUAGUUGGUGGGGUAACGGCCUACCAAGCCGACGAUCAGUAGCCGACCUGAGAGGGUGACCGGCCACAUUGGGACUGAGACACGGCCCAA